rnacentral:rRNA from 1 species
CCUACGGGAGGCAGCAGUGAGGAAUAUUGGUCAAUGGACGAGAGUCUGAACCAGCCAAGUAGCGUGAAGGAUGACUGCCCUAUGGGUUGUAAACUUCUUUUAUCAAGGAAUAAAACGAGGCACGUGUGCCCUUUUGCAUGUACUUUAUGAAUAAGGAUCGGCUAACUCCGUGCCAGCAGCCGCGGUAAUACGGAGGAUCCGAGCGUUAUCCGGAUUUAUUGGGUUUAAAGGGAGCGUAGAUGGGUUGUUAAGUCAGUUGUGAAAGUUUGCGGCUCAACCGUAAAAUUGCAAUUGAUCCUGGCAGUCUUGAGUACAGUUGAGGUAGGCGGAAUGCGUGGUGUAGCGGUGAAAUGCUUAGAUAUCACGAAGAACCCCGAUUGCGAAGGCAGCUUACUAAACUGUGACUGACAUUGAUGCUCGAAAGUGUGGGUAUCAAACAGGAUUAGAUACCCUAGUAGUC